rnacentral:rRNA from 1 species
AGAGUUUGAUCCUGGCUCAGGAUGAACGCUAGCGACAGGCUUAACACAUGCAAGUCGAGGGGCAGCGCGGUGGUGGCAACACCACCGGCGGCGACCGGCGCACGGGUGAGUAACACGUAUGCAACCUGCCCUCCACAGGGGGAUAAUCGGGAGAAAUCCCGUCUAAUACCGCAUAACGCCAACCGGGGGCAUCCCCGGUUGGCCAAAGGAGCGAUCCGGUGGGGGCUGGGCAUGCGCCGCAUUAGCCAGUUGGCGGGGUAACGGCCCACCAAGGCGACGAUGCGUAGGGGUUCUGAGAGGAAGGUCCCCCACACUGGUACUGAGACACGGACCAGACUCCUACGGGAGGCAGCAGUGAGGAAUAUUGGUCAAUGGGCGGAAGCCUGAACCAGCCAAGUCGCGUGAGGGAAGACGGUCCUAUGGAUUGUAAACCUCUUUUGUCGGGGAGCAAGGGGCGCCACGAGUGGUGUCAAGCGAGAGUACCCGAAGAAAAAGCAUCGGCUAACUCCGUGCCAGCAGCCGCGGUAAUACGGAGGAUGCGAGCGUUAUCCGGAUUUAUUGGGUUUAAAGGGUGCGUAGGCGGGACGCCAAGUCAGCGGUAAAAUGUCGGGGCUCAACCCCGUUGUGCCGUUGAAACUGUCCUGCUAGAGUUCGAGUGAGGUAUGCGGAAUGCGUUGUGUAGCGGUGAAAUGCAUAGAUAUGACGCAGAACUCCGAUUGCGAAGGCAGCAUACCAACUCGCGACUGACGCUGAGGCUCGAAAGCGUGGGUAUCGAACAGGAUUAGAUACCCUGGUAGUCCACGCAGUAAACGAUGAAUACUAACUGUUCGGAGGGCGACCUCUGAGUGGUAAAGCGAAAGCGUUAAGUAUUCCACCUGGGGAGUACGCCGGCAACGGUGAAACUCAAAGGAAUUGACGGGGGCCCGCACAAGCGGAGGAACAUGUGGUUUAAUUCGAAGCAACGCGAAGAACCUUACCAGGUCUUGACAUCCCGAUGACCGCUUCUUAAUCGAAGCUUUUCUUCGGAACAUCGGAGACAGGUGGUGCAUGGUUGUCGUCAGCUCGUGUCGUGAGAUGUUGGGUUAAGUCCCGCAACGAGCGCAACCCCUAUUUUCAGUAGCCAGCAUUUUGGAUGGGCACUCUGGAGGGACUGCCCGGGAUAACCGGGAGGAAGGUGGGGAUGACGUCAAAUCAUCAUGCCCCUUAUGAUCUGGGCUACACACGUGCUACAAUGGCUGUUACAGAGAGAAGCGAAUCCGCGAGGAAGAGCAAACCUCAAAAAGGCAGUCUCAGUUCGGAUUGUAGUCUGCAACUCGACUACAUGAAGCUGGAAUCGCUAGUAAUCGCGAAUCAGAAUGUCGCGGUGAAUACGUUCCCGGGUCUUGCACACACCGCCCGUCAAG